GGGGGUAUAGCUCAAAUGGUAGAGCGCGUGCUUAGCAUGCACGAGGUCCUGGGUUUAAUCCCCAGUACCUCCA
rnacentral:tRNA from 1 species